rnacentral:rRNA from 1 species
GACGGAGGAUGCAAGCGUUAUUCGGAAUGAUUGGGCGUAAAGCGUCCGCAGGUGGCAGUUCAAGUCUGCUGUCAAAGACCGGGGCUUAACUUCGGAAAGGCAGUGGAAACUGAACAGCUAGAGUAUGGUAGGGGCAGAGGGAAUUCCUGGUGUAGCGGUGAAAUGCGUAGAGAUCAGGAAGAACAUCGGUGGCGAAGGCGCUCUGCUGGACCAUAACUGACACUCAGGGACGAAAGCUAGGGGAGCGAAUGGG